rnacentral:rRNA from 1 species
UACAGAGGGUGCAAGCGUUGUUCGGAAUUACUGGGCGUAAAGCGAGUGUAGGCGGCCUAUUAAGUCAGAUGUGAAAUCCCUUGGCUCAACCGAGGAACUGCAUCUGAUACUGGUAGGCUUGAGUGUCGGAGGGGAUGGUAGAAUUCCUGGUGUAGAGGUGAAAUUCGUAGAUAUCAGGAGGAAUACCUGUGGCGAAGGCGACCAUCUGGAAGACAACUGACGC